rnacentral:tRNA from 1 species
GCGCCGGUGGUGUAAAGGCGUAGAGCAUUCCCGCCCGGUCAGAGGGAGGUGCGGGUUCGAGUCCCGCCUGCCGCU